UGCCUGAACCGGUCCUCGGUAUAAAUAUUCCUGUACACGGCCACCGACGCGCUCAUCCUGCUAUAAUUGCUCUUCGUGUAAGCUUCACGUUCGUGUAGGAUUUUAACAUCCUUGUUUGGCACCUCCGCACCACCCACCCACCAAGCCCCUCUCCAUAAAGGUGUGCUUGUCCAGCCCCUGCUCUGUCUGAUGAUGACAGAUACAGCCUUCUAGACUUCUGGGUCCUACUGCGGAAGGCAUUUUACCAGUCGAACAGCUGAAUGGCCCUCCACACACAUUUUACCCUCCACUCCAGGUCUCUCCCCCAAACCUACCGUUUCUCCAAAACCAAGUCAAACCAGAAGUUGCCAUGGAUAUCCAGAGCUCCAUGAUGACAUCACUUGCCAACAUGUCAGAGUUGCUGUACCUGGACCUUUGCCGUCUCUCCUGGUUUUCUCAUCCAUCACAUCAACGUUUGACCAACUCUUCACUCCUCUCUGUCAUUGGUCUGUCUGUCCCUGUGUGGAUCCUGAAUGUUUCAGCAAUUGAUUGGCUACAGCAUCAUGGCCUCUUUGUUUUCUCUUGUCCAGAUUCAGUCUAAGUUGUAGGUCUCCUCUAAGAGGUCUAUCCAAUGGUUCUUCCUCAUUAAUCAAAGUGUUUUUGGUACUUGAAAUGUAUUUUGCCUGACAUUACCUGUACCCUUGUACACUUUUGCAUGGCAUUAGUACACUUUGUCAUUUCUUGUCUACUUUCAUUUUGAAAUGUAUUGAUAGGGUCAGACCUUGUCAUUUGUGUCCAAAUAAAGUCUUUUUUUCACAUAUUUACAGCUAA